rnacentral:misc_RNA from 1 species
UACGUAGGUGGCAAGCGUUAUCCGGAAUUAUUGGGCGUAAAGCGCUCGCAGGCGGUCUUUUAAGUCUGAUGUGAAAGCCCCCGGCUCAACCGGGGAGGGUCAUUGGAAACUGGGGGACUUGAGUACAGAAGAGGAAAGUGGAAUUCCACGUGUAGCGGUGAAAUGCGUAGAUAUGUGGAGGAACACCAGUGGCGAAGGCGACUUUCUGGUCUGUAACUGACGCUGAGGCGCGAAAGCGUGGGGAGCGAACAGG